GCGGAAAUAGCUCAGUGGUAGAGCAUCUCGUUGCCAACGAGAAGGUCGCGGGUUCGAAUCCCGUUUUCCGCUCCA
rnacentral:tRNA from 17 species